UCAUACACAACGAAUAGGAGUAGUAAGAGUUGAACUGUCUCACAGCAAGCUGCGGGGUGAUGCGACGCAGUGACAGUAAAGUCUGAACUCGCCUGGGAGUGGAACAGCUGAACGGGCAUGAUUGGAUAUGACGAUAUUCCGAUUAUAUUCGAUAAGCGGUUACGGUACCUGCCGUUAUCAGGCAUGAGAGGAAGGUCUCGAAUAGGAGCUGGCUGCUGCCUGCAUCUUAUAUGGCCUUCAAUCGGAGUGGUACCGCGGCAUAAAACCUGUCGUCUCCUGA
rnacentral:ncRNA from 1 species